GACGAACGCUGGCGGCGUGCUUAACACAUGCAAGUCGAACGGUGAAGCUCCAGCUUGCUGGAGUGGAUCAGUGGCGAACGGGUAAGUAACACGUGAGCAACCUGCCCCUGACUCUGGAAUAAGCGCUGGAAACGGCGUCUAAUACUGGAUACGAGAAGGGCCCGCAUGGGCACUUUCUGGAAAGUUUUUCGGUUGGGGAUGGGCUCGCGGCCUAUCAGCUUGUUGGUGAGGUAAUGGCUCACCAAGGCGACGACGGGUAGCCGGCCUGAGAGGGCGACCGGCCACACUGGGACUGAGACACGGCCCAGACUCCUACGGGAGGCAGCAGUGGGGAAUAUUGCACAAUGGGCGAAAGCCUGAUGCAGCGACGCCGCGUGAGGGAUGACGGCCUUCGGGUUGUAAACCUCUUUCAGCAGGGAAGAAGCGAAAGUGACGGUACCUGCAGAAGAAGCACCGGCUAACUACGUG
rnacentral:rRNA from 1 species